CCUCCUUUCUUCCUCCUUUUUUCCUCUUUCCCCCUUUUGUCCCCCCUGCUGCCGCGACGCCGCGUGAGUGAAGAAGUAUUUCGGUAUGUAAAGCUCUAUCAGUAGGGAAGAAAAUGACGGUACCUGACUAAGAAGCCCCGGCUAACUACGUGCCAGCAGCCGCGGUAAUACGUAGGGGGCAAGCGUUAUCCGGAUUUACUGGGUGUAAAGGGAGCGUAGACGGCAGAGCAAGUCUGAAGUGAAAGCCCGCGGCCCAACUGCGGGACUGCUUUGGAAACUGCCCGGCUAGAGUGCUGGAGAGGUAAGCGGAAUUCCUAGUGUAGCGGUGAAAUGCAUAGAUAUCACGCAGAACUCCGAUUGCGAAGGCAGCAUACCGGCGCCCAACUGACGCUGAAGCACGAAAGCGUGGGUAUCGAACAGGAUUAGAUACCCCAGUAGUC
rnacentral:rRNA from 1 species